UCCUGAUAGCUCAGUUGGUAAAGAAUCUGCCUAUAAUGCUGGAGAUCCUGGUUUGAUUCCUGGAUCAGGAA
rnacentral:tRNA from 1 species